CUCUCGUUCUCUCUCAUAUUCUGCUCGUUGUGAUGGCUAAAACUGAUGUUGGCCCCUGACCGACGAGCCGGCGGCGGCUUGGUCCCUCCCACAUUGCAAGCUCCCUCCCUAGAGCAGAUCUCAUACAUCGAUGCCGCACGACCUAUACAGCACCAGGUUAGUCAGAUCUGUGUGCCGUGCAGCACCACUUUCCCAUAACAUCGUCGCGCAACCUUGGCGGCCAUGGCAACCCCGUUGCAAGAUCCAUAAGUUGAGAGGCUUCGCCAGCAAUGAAAUCUAUUUGUCGUCUUUAAGGAAAAUCUCCUGAUCUUGCCAUGUUAUUGCAAUUUCUGGUGAAGGCGGUGCAGUAAUCUCCUGAUCUGUCAGUAUCGACUAUCGACAUCAGGGCAGUCAUGCCUCCCAUCCCACGGCACACAUCAUCCUGCAAAUACAGGCCAACAGCCUGUUAAUUUCCGUUCUAUGUGAGCUUGCUAGUUAAUUUCCAUUUAAUUUUGUUGGCUUGUUAGUUAAUUUCUGAUUAUGAUUUUCUCUGCUGUGUGCAGAUCGGAACCGGCCGACUAAAGUAGUAAAACUGAUCCCUUUCUGAAUCACGCAGCUCAAGUGGAUGAUGUCUGGGAUAUGCGCAGCAAAGAAUUCAUCUUCUCAGCUCCCACCUGUGGCAAAUGGAUCCCUUCCUAGCAUCAAUGUACCAGUUUGUCAUAUACAUGAUGAGUAAUCUUGUAUAUACCAAAGGAGUAUUUCCACAAAGGAAUGAAUGAUUUUUCAUGUUUGUGUUUACAUAGGCAAAUAGAGUACUUGGUCAUAUACUGUAACGAAUAUGGCACCAUUUAUGCCAUUUCGAGGGAUUUUGGUGAUCGUAUGAUAACACAAUCAAUGAGACUAAUGGUUUUGUUGAGUGAA